rnacentral:tRNA from 1 species
GGACUGUGGCUCAGCGGUAGAGUGCUUGCCUCAUACGUGUGAGACCCUGGGUUCAAUCCUCAGCACCA